AUCAGGUAGUUGGAGGGGUAACGGCCCACCAAGCCUAUGACGGGUAGCUGGUUUGAGAGAACGAUCAGCCACACUGGAACUGAGACACGGUCCAGACUCCUACGGGAGGCAGCAGUGGGGAAUCUUGCGCAAUGGGCGAAAGCCUGACGCAGCAACGCCGCGUGCGGGAGGAAGGCCUUCGGGUUGUAAACGGCUAACUACGUGCCAGCAGCCGCGGUAAUACGUAGGGGGCAAGCGUUGUCCGGAUUUAUUGGGCGUAAAGAGCUCGUAGGCGGUUCCGUAAGUUGAGAGUCAAAUCUCUGGGCUCAACCCAGAGUCGCUCUUAAUACUGCGGUGACUCGAGUCCGGUAGGGGAGUUUGGAAUUCCUGGUGUAGCGGUGAAAUGCGCAGAUAUCAGGAGGAACACCAACAGCGAAGGCAGAACUCUGGGCCGGUACUGACGCUGAGGAGCGAAAGCGUGGGGAGCGAACAGGAUUAGAUACCCUGGUAGUCCACGCCGUAAACGUUGGGCACUAGGUGUGGGAGGGAAUCAACCCCUUCUGUGCCGUAGCUAACGCAUUAAGUGCCCCGCCUGGGGAGUACGGCCGCAAG
rnacentral:rRNA from 1 species